AUAGCAGAAUUCAGUGAAUCAUCGAAUCUUUGAACGCACCUUGCGCUCCUUGGUAUUCCAAGGAGCAUGCCUGUUUGAGUAUCAUU
rnacentral:rRNA from 1 species